UUCAGAGAGUCGAGGGCACCAGAGGUUGGGCCGCUUUGUUCCGCGUAGCUCUCCGCCUUCUCGGCCAACGGCAAAUCUAACCGACCUGAGCUGGAGUGGGGACGCUGGGAGUAGAAAUGCCCUGAGAGCUUCCUGGCGGAGGUGCAGAAAAGACAUGGUGGUAAGGCGCUUGAGUUUGGAGACGCACGAAACUGGGUUCUUUGAGCUCAGUUGCUCCCCGUGAAAUCGGAAUAAUGCGCUUUCCAGAGCAUUUUCUCGAAUUAGGAGUUAAUUCGAUCCAGUGCGCCUUCCUCGGCACACUAGAAGACGGAAGCUCAAUGAGAUUAAGAAAUUUGCCCACAGCCAGACAUCUAGAAAGUGCCCGAACUGGGAGUUGAAGUUCAUUUGCCAGUGACCAGGAAUCAAAAUGACCCAGGGAUGGUAGCCGCUCUGCAGUGACCAGGCCUGGGGAACUGAACUGCUUCUCGUGAUGGUUUUGCACUCCGGGGAGAACCAGAAUACCGGUUUCCUAGUUGCUCGUCUCAGGACUUAAUGAAGCUCAGGUUCUUUAUGUCUUGGCACAGAAGGAAUUCAGCGAGAGGCAAAGUGAUAGGUUUUUGGACUCUGCUGUGAAGACUGGUUUGCUGGUAUGCCAGAGGCAAGAUGCUAAGAAGCCCAGCUUUGGUCACCAACUUCUGCAUCACAUCUGGUGAGGGGCGUUGGAGUCUCUCCCCAAGGUGGGGUUUGGGAGGCUUCUAAUUUCCAAGACAAAACCAGUCUUGAUCUGGCCUUACCUGGGGGCAGUUGUUGAAGUUCUGAAAAUACCCAGUACAGAGCACCUGGGCGCAGUUCUCACGGAUGCCGGCAGCCAAUACCGUCCGAGAGGCUGCUCUUGAAAAGGCCCAGCUCUCCACAUGUCCUGGAGAAACUGGAUGCCCUCUUUUUUCUCUGAGUCCCCAGAGGUCCAAGUGCCAUCCAAGAGUAAAAUGGAAGAGAAAAACAGAAGACUUUUGAACAUAUUCCUAAAAGCUUCGUGGCAAGCCUCUGGGGCUUUAAGCAAGGGAUAGACAUGCUCACACUCAGAUCUGGGAAGGCUCACUCUGGCUGAAACUCGGAGAAGGGAUCUGAGCAGGGCAAGACUGGAGGCAGUGAGAUAAGUAACCCAGACACCAUGCAAGAGAGGCCCAAUCUAGAUCAAGGGAGAGGAACCGAGGCCCCCAGCCAAUAGCCAGCAUCCACUGCCAGACGUGUGAAUGAAGGAUCCUGCAGACGGAUGGUUCCAGUCUCCAGCUUUCGAGUCUUCCAGCUUCGACCCCAAACAUCAUGGAGCAGAGGCAAGCCAUCUCCACCCCCACUGCACUCCAUCCAAACUCCUGAUCCACAGAGCCCAUAAAGGUAACAAAGAGUGUCAUGCCCGCUAAGUCUUGGGGUAAUCUUUUAGGCAACAUUAGAUAACCAGAACAUAGAGUGACCUUAGGAGGAGCAAGAAUGAGCAGCAUAGAAACUGAAGGAGAAAGUACCCUAGACGAGUUGAGUUAGUCAGAUGGAAUGACAUUAAAUGUGGAAAGCGUUACUAGCCUCGACCACAUGGUUUCUAACCUCGUCCUGCUGUGAAAUUGUUCCCUCAAAGACCACCAACAACCUCCCAACUGACUAAAGUCAAAAACACCUCACCUUUUUCUCCAUACUCAUUCUCCUUCAACUUCUUUCCUUGACUUCCAGUCUUAAUAUAAGGUCAACUACCACACGGACAUGCUUCUCUACCGGUCUCUGCUUUGCUUUACUCAUUGGUUCCUCUUCUCCCUCCCACCUUCCCACUAGGCUGUAACCAACUUACUUUCCAAAGGCUUGCUCCCCUCUCUCUAUCCAUGGCCCUCAAAGAGCUCUUUCUUCUUCUUCUUCUUCUUUUAAAUAUUUAUUUAUUUGGCUGCGCCUGGUCCUACUUGCAGCACAUAGGAUCUUCGUUGCUGCCGUGUGGGAUCUUCCUUGUGGCAUGCAGGCUCUUUAGUUGCGGCAUGCGGGCUCUAGCUCCCUGACCAGGAAUUGAACCCAGAGCCCCUGCAUUGGGAGCAUGGAGUCUUAACCACUGGACCACCAGGGAAGCCCCGGGCUCACUCCUUCUUGACGAAACUAUCACCUGUGUGCAGAGUCUCCCACUCCAAUACCUCCAUAACCAGUCCUGUUCAUCGACAUGAACUCCUAUCUUGUUUUGCCAAUUUCCCUCUAGUCGUGUGCCAAUACCUUAUUUCUUUGCCACCUCAAGUCCAACACAUCCAAAAUGGACCCACUGUAAUGGAUGCUAUCUGGGCCUCACCCAGAUCAUCUUUACCAGCUGGUCUACUCAUCCCCCAGGUACCAGGCAUGUUGUCUGAUAACCACACACAGCUGUCCCCUUUUCUGGAGAAUUGGCCUGGACCGAAUGGGAGACAAGCCAUCCCCACAACACACACUUUGGACAGAUCUCAGCCACUGACUGCCUGGUGCGCAGCUGUAAAACACCAGCCCCCUUCUCUCAAGGUGGAGCCGACUCUGGUGUGAUUUGCGCUGAGAGUCUCACUGUGGACUCGGAUUACAGCUUAGCCCACAUCCUUGCUUAGCUUCUUGGCUUUGCCAUCUUGUUCCCCUCGCUCUUCUCCUCCCCGCAUCAAUCCCUUGGACAAAAGUUCUGUGCCACCCAACCUAAAACACCUAUCAAGGCAGGUUCACUUGUUUACUUGUUUCUUGACCUCCCCAACCUGAAACUCCCUAUCAGGCCAGCCAUCAAUCCUAACAUAUUUUCUAGCAAAUGCCUCUCAGAUUUAUUUCUUCCUCCUUGUUCCCAUUGCCCCCACAUAAUCACCUCACACCUGGAUUGUGAAAUUGGUCUCCUCUCCAACCUCCCUGCCCUUUCCUGUUUUUCCUUUCCCCCACCCAACAUGACUCGCACGUAAACGCCAGAUUAAAAUCUCUUUAAUGCCUUUGAUCAUACAGCUCCCCUACCCAAAAGUUGAAUGCCUCCUGUUUCUAAUGGCACUAGAUAAAGAUUCUUUUGUCUGCUUUCCUGGACCCUCACUGAGAUCUGGCUUUCUCCUUGUUUACUUAACCUCAUUUUCCAGUAUUUCUAAUUUUCUAUUCCAGCCAGCUCCUUCAAAAUUCCACAAAGCACACUUAUUCCCAUCACACCAGCCCCACUUUCCCCUCCUACACUUUCCUAAACCCUGCCCAUCAGUGGGAGGGCCACCCAGCUGUCUCCCAGUAUCCACCCUUCCCUUCUUCUCAGUUUCCAGCUGGGCACAGGGGUGCCUGGAGUAAAUAACACAUAUCCCAGCCUCCCUUGCAGCUGGAUAUGGUUAAAUGACUUCACUUCAGCCUAUUUCAUAUAAGCAGAAAUGCUGUACAUUACUUCUGUCAAUGGAUUAAGAGGAAAGGAUGUGUUUCUUUGCCCUUCUCUGUCCUACUGGCUGGAAUGUGCAGCUUGGACAGCCAUCUUAGAUCAUGAAGUAAAAACCAUGUACUGAGGACGUGAGGCAACAAAGUGAGCUUCUAGCCAAGCCUGAACUGCCAGCCUUGAUCUAGACUUUCUAUCAGAGAGAAUGAAUUUAUAUCUAGUAAACCACUAUUCUAAUUUUUUGUCUCUCACAGCUGAAUCUAAUCCUAACUGACACACAUACUCAACUUUUCUGUUUGUUAGCCAUAAUGAGCUUCUGUGGCUCACAACCAAAGGAAACCAGAUGCUAAGGAAGGAAGGUAAAAGCUUUAGAAAAAUUAAAGGAAGCUGAGGCAAAGUGCACAGGACUUUAGAAAGACAUUUCUAAAUUAUUACUGGCAGGGAAGUGACUACGAUUAUGUAAGGAGAAACUAGGCAAGCCCAGGCAAAAUGCAGGGCUGGAUUUUCAUGCAUUGUACACUGCAGAAAUUAUGGGCAGAGCAGAUCUAAUAUAACUCUGAGUGUUAAUAAGGUGGUUGAGCUGUACUUUGGUUCUGCUCACAUCUUGUGAAGGGAGGAAAGAAGUGGAUGCAAGGCUGAGCUGAGAAAUAUUUAACAACUGCCUGGAGGUUGAGGGGAGUCUAAUUAGCUGCAUUUCCAGUUUCCGUGGUGUAAAUAUUCCCAACAAGGUCAACUUCAAGCUACCGACGUUAUGUCAGUUGGCUCACAAAAUUCCUGAAAAUAUCACAAUCUGCUCUCAUGAGCUGCUCCAGCACAGAAGGGGGCGGUGAGGGGCGCUGAAGUGGCAAUGCAUGUGAUGAACCUCACUAGGCGCCAGGCACUGUGGGAGCCAUUGUGCAUAUAUUAUCUUCCUUAAUCCUUCCACGCAACACUGAGGGGUAAGGCCAAACGUCCCCAACCAUUAAUCCUUUGGGGGAAAGUUCCAAUACAUGUGGAUUUAUAUUUAUAUAUCUUCUCCACAACCCUGGAAGAUGCAUUGGUCAUUCCUAUUAUGGAUAAUUAGAAAAAGUAGGAAAUGGAGGUUAGGAAGGAAAGCUAGGGUGUAGUGGAUAUUAUUUGGGUUUUGACAAUGCAGCAAUGACUCUCUCCUCCUCCUCUGACAAUAGUCAUUGGAUUCUUUGGGGAAUUACCUGUGCACAGUCCUACUGAGCUUUCAGUUAAGAUGUCCGUUCUUCCCCAGGCCCCUACCUAAACCAGACUAAUCAGACUCUCUGCUGGAGCUUUGAAUGAUGAACAUGAAUGUGAGGGAUGGAAAAAAGCUAGCUGUCAUUCAUUCAUUUCAGCAGGUAGUGAGGGCAAGACUUGAUUCCUGCUAUGGAGUCCCCAGAGCUGCCCUAGUUCCUAUGUUCCCUGAGCCUAGCUCUCUAGCCUUCCUUUCAGGCUGUGAGCUCUUCAAGAUCCUCCCAAUGCUCAGCUUUUCUAAGUUAGCCAUAAUGAGUUUCUGUGGCUUGAAACCAAAGAAAUCCAAAUGCUAAGAAAGGAAGGUAAAAGUUUUAGAAAAAUUAAAGGAAGCUGAGGCAAAUGCAGAGGGCUUUAGAAAGGCAUUUCUAAAUCACUACUGGCAGAGAAAUGGCUACAAUUAUGUAAGGAGAAC